GCAGAUGUGGCACGAGAUAGAUCCCUCCCUGCUCAAUGGCCCUAAGCACCGAGCAUAGGCCUAAAUUUUGCAGCCCUUCACCGGCAUGGAUGACAUCUCCAUAUGAGUGAAAUAUUCUCGAGAGGGACGUAAAACAAUAUUCAAUCAAUCAAUCUCCAGUACAAUACUUCCAGAACAAGCAGGCCAAUUUCAUGCAAUGAAGGGCCAUGCUACCUUUAAAGGUAUAAAAGAGAUAAUUACAAAAAUAGGGAGGGGUCAAUUAAAAAUCUUCUCAAGAACUGCUGGGCAAGGAAAGUUCAAAUGUUCAUGGCAGCUUCCUGACAUAGUGUAGAUUAAAGUUUGUUGAAACCAUGGCUCCUGGGGGGUAGGAUGCCCGGGGCUACAAUAGGGGAUCAAAGUUUUAUAUCUGAAUAUAUAGGGAACAAAUCUUUAAAAAGCUCCUUCAUAAAGCAAUAAUUAUAUAUAAAUAUUUAUUAUAUUUGAUAUAUAUAUUUAUUUGAUAGUAAAUAUAUAUAAUGCUAUCCAUUUCACGUAAUUUUUGGAAUUUUUUAAUUAUUCUGAUGUCAACCUUACACGUAUAUUUUUCACAGGUUUUGAAUAUAAUGUCUCUAGUAUGGAUAUGUUUGACGAUUGUUACCAUGGAAACGAACUCACAGACCAACAUGUAUGUCAAAACAGGUUUUGAACAUGAUGUCUCCAGCAAGGAUAUGUUUGAUGACGGUUACCAUGGAAACGAACUCACGGACCUAUGUCAAAAAUGUCUUUUUCUGAUAAAAUAAAUAUAAUGCUAUCCAUUUCA